GUUUCCGUAGUGUAGUGGUUAUCGCCAAAGUCCUUAUGUCUCUGUUAUCACGUUCGCCUAACACGCGAAAGGUCCCCGGUUCGAGACCGGGCGGAAACA